AGGCAGAGACUGGUGAGGCCAUUCCUCGAGAACUACACUUAUGCUUUCCCCCAUAAAUCCAUUUCUUGUCUAUCUCUCUACUUUUCUUCUUUUCAUUUAUUUAAUAGUUAAUACGGCUUUGCUUUUUAGUUGAAAACAGUAAAAACCGAAAUAAAAUGUGUUUCGUCGGCCGAUGGAGAUUGAGAAAGUUAGUUAAACCAAUGAUGCCGACACAAAACAAAAAGUUAAUCCGAUGAUACUAUUUUCACUACUGUAUCAAUCGAUUCGU